rnacentral:tRNA from 1 species
GGUUUUAUAGUCAAUUAUGAUUUUAAAUUGCAAGUUUAAAGGUAGAAUUAGUCUUAAGGCCU